rnacentral:rRNA from 1 species
GAUGAACGCUGGCGGCGUGCUUAACACAUGCAAGUCGAACGAUGAAGCUCAGCUUGCUGGGUGGAUUAGUGGCGAACGGGUGAGUAACACGUGAGUAACCUGCCCUUAACUCUGGGAUAAGCCUGGGAAACUAGGUCUAAUACCGGAUAGGAGCGCCUACCGCAUGGUGGGUGUUGGAAAGAUUUAGCGGUUUUGGAUGGACUCGCGGCCUAUCAGCUUGUUGGUGAGGUAAUGGUUCACCAAGGCGACGACGGGUAGCCGGCCUGAGAGGGGGACCGGCCACACUGGGACUGAGACACGGCCCAGACUCCAACGGGAGGCAGCAGUGGAGAAUAUUGCACAAUGGGCGAAAGCCUGAUGCAGCGGCGCCGCGUGAGGGAAGACGGCCUUCGGGUUGUAAACCUCUUUCAGUAGGGAAGAAGCGAAAGUGACGGUACCUGCAGAAGAAGCACCGGCUAACUACGUG